AACAAAAACAUGUCUUUUUGAAUUAAAUUUAAAGUCUAACCUGCCCACUGAAAUUUUUAAAUGGCCGCAGUAUCCUAACUGUGCAAAGGUAGCAUAAUCAUUAGUCUUUUAAUUGAAGGCUGGAAUGAAUGGUUGGACGAAAUAUUAACUGUUUCAUUUGAAUUUUUUAUAGAAUUUUAUUUUUUAGUCAAAAAGCUAAAAUUUAUUUAAAAGACGAGAAGACCCUAUAAAUCUUUAUAUUUUAUUUAUUUUAAUUAUAAAGAUUAUUUUUAUUAUAAUAAAUUAAAAUAUUUUAUUGGGGUGAUAUUAAAAUUUAAAAAACUUUUAAUUUUAAAAACCAUUAAUAUAUGAAUAAUUGAUCCAUUUAUAAUGAUUAAAAAUUUAAGUUACUUUAGGGAUAACAGCGUAAUUUUUUUGGAGAGUUCAUAUCGAUAAAAAAGAUUGCGACCUCGAUGUUGGAUUAAGAUAUAAUUUUGGGUGUAGCCGUUCAAAUUUUAAGUCUGUUCGACUUUUAAAUUCUUACGUGAUCUGAGUUCAAACCGGA
rnacentral:rRNA from 1 species